AACGAACGCUGGCGGCAUGCCUAACACAUGCAAGUCGAACGAGACCUUCGGGUCUAGUGGCGCACGGGUGCGUAACGCGUGGGAACCUGCCCUUAGGUUCGGAAUAACUCCCCGAAAGGGGUGCUAAUACCGGAUAAUGUCUUCGGACCAAAGAUUUAUCGCCUUUGGAUGGGCCCGCGUUGGAUUAGCUAGUUGGUAGGGUAAAAGCCUACCAAGGCGACGACCCAUAGCUGGUCUGAGAGGAUGAUCAGCCACACUGGGACUGAGACACGGCCCAGACUCCUACGGGAGGCAGCAGUGGGGAAUAUUGGACAAUGGGCGAAAGCCUGAUCCAGCAAUGCCGCGUGAGUGAUGAAGGCCUUAGGGUUGUAAAGCUCUUUUACCCGGGAUGAUAAUGACAGUACCGGGAGAAUAAGCUCCGGCCAACUCCGUG
rnacentral:rRNA from 1 species